rnacentral:rRNA from 1 species
AGAACGAACGUUGGCGGCGUGGAUUAGGCAUGCAAGUCGAGCGAGGAUGGUCUUUGUAGCAAUACAAGGGCCAAGCCGAGCGGCGAAAGGGGCAGUUAUGUGUGGGUAACGUACCUCCUGGUUCGGGACAGCCACGGGAAACUGUGGGUAAUACCGAGCGACGUCAUUGAGGCACCUGUUUCGAUGACCAAAGGUUUACCGCCGGGAGAGCGGCUCACAUGGUAUUAGCUAGUUGGUAGGGUAAUGGCCUACCAAGGCAAAGAUGCCUAGCAGGUGUGAGAGCACGACCUGCGCCACUGGCACUGAGACACUGGCCAGACACCUACGGGUGGCUGCAGUCGAGGAUCUUCGGCAAUGGGCGCAAGCCUGACCGAGCGACGCCGCGUGUGCGAUGAAGGCCUUCGGGUUGUAAAGCACUGUCAGGGGGGAACAAAUCAAUGAGUGAUCCCCAGAGGAAGCACGGGCUAAGUUCGUGCCAGCAGCCGCGGUAAGACGAACCGUGCGAACGUUGUUCGGAAUCACUGGGCUUAAAGGGCGCGUAGGUGGUUUGCCAAGUCGGGGUUGAAAUCUUUCGGCUCAACCGGAAAAGUGGCUUCGAUACUGGCAAGCUGGAGGGAGGUAGGGGCGGAUGGAACUUCCGGUGGAGCGGUGAAAUGUGUUGAUAUCGGAAGGAACGCCGGUGGCGAAAGCGAUCCGCUGGACCUCUUCUGACACUGAGGCGCGAAAGCCAGGGGAGCAAACGGGAUUAGAUACCCCGGUAGUCCUGGCCCUAAACGAUGGGUACUGAGUAGUGGACUUGCAUGGGUUCACUGCUGAAGCAAAAGUGGUAAGUACCCCGCCUGGGGAGUAUGGUCGCAAGGCUGAAACU